UACGAGUGCCCCGAGCGUUAUCCGGAAUUAUUGGGCGUAAAGAGUGUGUAGGUGGUUUGUUUAGUCUCCUGUUAAAACCCUCGGCUUAACCGAGGAAGUGCAGGAGAAACGGGCAGACUAGAGGAUGGCAGGGAUGUAUGGAACUCAUGGAGUAGGGGUGAAAUCCGUUGAUAUCAUGGGGAACACCGAAAGCGAAGGCAGUACAUUGGGCCACUCCUGACACUGAAACACGAAAGCGUGGGUAGCGAAUGGG
rnacentral:rRNA from 1 species